UGGAGGCAGCAGUGAGGAAUAUUGCGCAAUGGAGGCAACUCUGACGCAGCCAUGCCGCGUGCAGGAAGACGGCGCUACGCGUUGUAAACUGCUUUUAACCGGGAAGAAACCCCAGGACGUGUCCUGGGUUGACGGUACCGGAGGAAUAAGCACCGGCUAACUUCGUGCCAGCAGCCGCGGUAAUACGAAGGGUGCAAGCGUUAUCCGGAUUCAUUGGGUUUAAAGGGUGCGUAGGCGGGGUGGUAAGUCAGUGGUGAAAUCCUGCAGCUUAACUGUAGAAUUGCCAUUGAUACUGCCAUUCUUGAGUACGCUGGAUGUGGGCGGAAUGUGCCGUGUAGCGGUGAAAUGCUUAGAUAUGGCACAGAACACCGAUAGCGAAGGCAGCUCACAACGGCGAAACUGACGCUGAGGCACGAAAGCGUGGGGAUCGAACAGGAUUAGAUACCCGGGUAGUCCC
rnacentral:rRNA from 1 species